UUUUCAAGCAAGCAUCCUGCAACUGACACGUGUGUAGGUAGUUAGAUUAAUUUUGCUCACAGACUUUAAAUAAUGUAAUAAUUAUCAACCAAUUUAUAGCUCAGUCAAUAAACUAGCAAGUCAGGUGUGUUUCAGCAUCAAACCAUUUAGAUAUUUGCUUCCUAAGCUGUAAAAGAACACCCACCCAAUCAUCCAUAUCAAACCUACCCUUAUAAAAGUCAUUUAUGCUCUAGUAGUUAUCAAAUGAGCUUUCGUCACCUCUUUAUUGGAACAAGUUAAACUGACUGACUUGAGCCUCUUGGACUCAAUCCAGUGGCUUCCAAUUCACAACUUCAUACAAUAUUAAUCAAGUGUCAUUCGCUACCAAUAGUCAGUCUCGAAACACAAAAGAAUCAUAAUUUAAGUAUGGGAUCCACCUCAUCUGAUGUUAUAUGAUUAUGAUUUUGUGACGUCACUUCUACAAGGAAGGAAUUCCGGUUAUAUUUUUGUAGCAGUCGAAAAAACGACUGUCAAUUAUUGAUGAAAGCUGAUUGCACAAACCUGCCAUUAGAGAAAGAAACAACAAAACAACAGCGGUCACAAACGAUGAGAGGAGUUGUUUUGCAAUUACGAUCUACCAUCGCAUUCCCGAUAAAAGGAAGUAUUUUUCUCUUGCUUGUUCUUUUUCUGACUGCCGAGUGCCUCUGCUGCUCCAAAACAUCUCCGCCAUGGUCUUGCAGUGUCGCCAAGAGAGUCCCAGGCAACACAUUCAACCCUUUUAUUCACUAUUCAAAGAAAACAACAACAACAACAGAUACUAGGCAAAACGAGUUAACCGCUUCGAAGAGAGAUAAAUGGAAAGAGUCAAACGAUUCGCAAGAUGAUGAAAUCUUGAAGCUGUAUUGCAAAAUUUUGCCUGAAAGUUUCGUUUGCGAUCCGUUUGGGGCGAUUUACGAAUAUGAUGCGAAAUACUUUGCCUCGAAGUGAACUCGUGUUCAUCUGAAAUCUGUUCGAGAUCGAUAUUAUGACAGAGUACCUGCCUGCAUCAGCAAUCGAAUCAAUUUCAAGUUGCUAAAUAACAAACCUAACACCAUAAAUUUAACAAUUCAGUUGAUUUAGACA